rnacentral:rRNA from 1 species
CAGUAGCCGCGGUAAUACGGAGGGGGCUAGCGUUGUUCGGAAUUACUGGGCGUAAAGCGCACGUAGGCGGCUUGGUAAGUUAGAGGUGAAAGCCUGGAGCUCAACUCCAGAAUUGCCUUUAAGACUGCCGAGCUAGCAGGUGAGAGAGGUAAGUGGAAUUCCGAGUGUAGAAGCGAAAUUCGUAGAUAUUCGGAAGAACACCAGUGGCGAAGGCGGCUUACUGGCUCAUACUGGACGCUGAGGUGCGAAAGCGUGGGGAGCAAACAGGAUUAGAUACCCGUGUAGUCCCUGUCUCUUAUAA